rnacentral:rRNA from 1 species
GAUGAACGCUGGCGGCGUGCCUAAUACAUGCAAGUCGAGCGAAUGGAUUAAGAGCUUGCUCUUAUGAAGUUAGCGGCGGACGGGUGAGUAACACGUGGGUAACCUGCCCAUAAGACUGGGAUAACUCCGGGAAACCGGGGCUAAUACCGGAUAACAUUUUGAACCGCAUGGUUCGAAAUUGAAAGGCGGCUUCGGCUGUCACUUAUGGAUGGACCCGCGUCGCAUUAGCUAGUUGGUGAGGUAACGGCUCACCAAGGCAACGAUGCGUAGCCGACCUGAGAGGGUGAUCGGCCACACUGGGACUGAAACACGGCCCAGACUCCUACGGGAGGCAGCAGUAGGGAAUCUUCCGCAAUGGACGAAAGUCCGACGGAGCAACGCCGCGUGAGUGAUGAAGGCUUUCGGGUCGUAAAACUCUGUUGUUAGGGAAGAACAAGUGCUAGUUGAAUAAGCUGGCACCUUGACGGUACCUAACCAGAAAGCCACGGCUAACUACGUGCCAGCCGCCGCUGUAA